rnacentral:lncRNA from 1 species
GAUUCUAUGUUCACGGAUUAAUAUACUUUUCUUUUUUCUGAUUUCAUUCAGCUCUUUCUGUUGUUCUGGAGUCAAAUCCUCACCUUCCAUUUCUUCAUCUUCUCCAUCUCCUUGUUCUUGAAGAAGCCCUUCUUCUUUCUCCAAUUCCUCAAGCCUCUGUAAAAUAUCCUGAUCGAUAAAAUCAUACACGUUAUGCCCAUCGAGUAUUUCAGGUAUGUUAUCUUCCUUCCAUUCAUCAUCAGCUAAAAGAUAAUGUUUCUUCAAACUUGCAGAGUAAACACCCGCUCCACCAUUUUCAUUUUCAUUCUCCCUUUCCAACUUCCUCUUCACCUUUUCAGCUUCCAUGGCUUUAGCUUCAACAACAGCUUCAGGUAUACAAACAGGUCUUUCCUUCUGAUCACGUGGCUUUGGCAUUGCAACAUGAAACCGAUUCAAACACUCGUUUAUCUUCUUUGACUUCAUUUUGACUUCAACUCUCUGGUCCAACAACCUCUCACAAGCUGCGUUUUUUACCGCGAUU